rnacentral:misc_RNA from 1 species
GAUGAAGAACGUAGCGAAAUGCGAUAAGUAAUGCGAAUUGCAGAAUUUCCGUGAGUCAUCGAAUCUUUGAACGCACAUUGCGCCCACUGGUAUUCCGGUGGGCAUGCCUGUUCGAGCGUCAUUAUCCUCCCUCAAACCCCGGGUUUGGUGUUGGACCGAAGUUGUGUGAACAACUGGUCUAAAAAACAAUGACGGCGUCCGUGGGACCCUCGGUGCAACGAGCUUUUAGGAGCACGCGCCGAGUUGCAAGGACCUUCCGGGCCGGUCUCCUUUUACUAUUUUACAACGUUGACCUCGGAUCAGGUAGGAAUACCCGCUGAACUUAAGCAUAUCAAUAAGCGGAGGA